rnacentral:rRNA from 1 species
GUGCCUUCGGGAGCCGAGUGACAGGUGCUGCAUGGCUGUCGUCAGCUCGUGUUGUGAAAUGUUGGGUUAAGUCCCGUAACGAGCGCAACCCUUGUCCCUAUUUGCCAGCGAUUCGGUCGGGAACUCUAGGGAGACUGCCGGUGACAAACCGGAGGAAGGUGGGGACGACGUCAAGUCAUCAUGGCCCUUACGGGUAGGGCUACACACGUGCUACAAUGGUCGGUACAAAGGGUUGCGAAGCCGCGAGGUGGAGCCAAUCCCGAAAAGCCGGUCUCAGUCCGGAUCGGAGUCUGCAACUCGACUCCGUGAAGUCGGAAUCGCUAGUAAUCGUGAAUCAGAAUGUCACGGUGAAUACGUUCCCGGGCCUUGUACACACCGCCCGUCACACCAUGGGAGUGGACUGCACCAGAAGUGGUUAGCUUAACCUUCGGGGGAGCGAUCACCACGGUGUGGUUCAUGACUGGGGUGAAGUCGUAACAAGGUAGCCGUAGGGGAACCUGCGGCUGGAUCACCUCCUUAC